CCAGAGAACUUAGCAGAGAUGCUUUGGUGCCUUCGGGAACUCUGAGACAGGUGCUGCAUGGCUAUCGUCAGCUCGUGUUGUGAAAUGUUGGGUUAAGUCCCGCAACGAGCGCAACCCUUAUCCUUUGUUGCCAGCGGCUCGGCCGGGAACUCAAAGGAGACUGCCGGUGAUAAACCGGAGGAAGGUGGGGAUGACGUCAAGUCAUCAUGGCCCUUACGGCCAGGGCUACACACGUGCUACAAUGGCGCAUACAAAGAGAAGCGACCUCGCGAGAGCAAGCGGACCUCAUAAAGUGCGUCGUAGUCCGGAUUGGAGUCUGCAACUCGACUCCAUGAAGUCGGAAUCGCUAGUAAUCGUAGAUCAGAAUGCUACGGUGAAUACGUUCCCGGGCCUUGUACACACCGCCCGUCACACCAUGGGAGUGGGUUGCAAAAGAAGUAGGUAGCUUAACCUUCGGGAGGGCGCUUACCACUUUGUGAUUCAUGACUGGGGUGAAGUCGUAACAAGGUAAGCGUAGCGAG
rnacentral:rRNA from 1 species